AAAUUCGAUUAACGCGAAGACCUUUACCUGGGCUCAAAAUGUAGUGGAAUCCGGUAGAAACAUCGGCGCCUAGCAAUAGGCCGCUAUAUAGGUGCUGCAUGGCUGUCGUCAGCUCGUGUCGUGAGAUGUUGGGUUAAGUCCCGCAACGAGCGCAACCCUUAUCUCCAGUUGCCACCAUUUAGUUGAGCACUCUGGCGAAACCGCCUCGGAUAACGGGGAGGAAGGUGGGGAUGACGUCAAGUCCUCAUGGCCUUUAUGUCCAGGGCUACACACGUGCUACAAUGGCCGGUACAAUGCGCAGCUAAGCCGCGAGGUGGAGCCAAUCGCAAAAAACCGGUCUCAGUUCGGAUUGCAGGCUGCAACUCGCCUGCAUGAAGCUGGAAUCGCUAGUAAUGGCGUAUCAGAACGAUGCCGUGAAUACGUUCCCGGGCCUUGUCACACCGAAUCACUA
rnacentral:rRNA from 1 species